UAGGGAAUCUUCGGCAAUGGACGAAAGUCUGACCGAGCAACGCCGCGUGAGUGAAGAAGGUUUUCGGCUCGUAAAGCUCUGUUGUUAAAGAAGAACACGUAUGAGAGUAACUGUUCAUACGUUGACGGUAUUUAACCAGAAAGUCACGGCUAACUACGUGCCAA
rnacentral:rRNA from 1 species